rnacentral:rRNA from 1 species
UACGAGUGCCCCGAGCGUUAUCCGGAAUCAUUGGGCGUAAAGGGUGUGUAGGUGGCAGUGUUAGUCGAUUGUUAAAACCUGGGGCUUAACCCCAGAUGUGCGAUCGAAACGGCACAGCUAGAGGAUGCGAGGGAUGUAUGGAACUCAUGGAGUAGGGGUGAAAUCCGUUGAUAUCAUGGGGAACACCAAAAGCGAAGGCAGUACAGUGGGCCACUCCUGACACUGAAACACGAAAGCGUGGGUAGCGAACGGG